GAUGAAGAACGUAGCGAAAUGCGAUAAGUAAUGCGAAUUGCAGAAUUUCCGUGAGUCAUCGAAUCUUUGAACGCACAUUGCGCCCAUUGGUAUUCCGAUGGGCAUGCCUGUUCGAGCGUCAUUAUCCUCCCUCAAACCUCGGGUUUGGUGUUGGACCCAAGUUGUGCGAUGAACAACUGGUCUUAAAGACAAUGACGGCGUCCGUAGGACCCUCGAUGCAACGAGCUUCUCAGCAGCACGCGUCGAGUUUCAAGGACCUUUCGGGCCGGUCUCCUUUACUUCUUACAAGGUUGACCUCGGAUCAGGUAGGAAUACCCGCUGAACUUAAGCAUAUCAAUAAGCGGAGGA
rnacentral:misc_RNA from 1 species